GCCCGGGAACGUAUUCACCGCAGCACUGCUGAUCUGCGAUUACUAGCAACUCCGACUUCAUGGGGUCGAGUUGCAGACCCCAAUCCGAACUGAGACAGGCUUUUUGAGAUUCGCUCCGCCUCGCGGCUUCGCAGCUCAUUGUACCUGCCAUUGUAGCACGUGUGCAGCCCAAGACAUAAGGGGCAUGAUGACUUGACGUCGUCCCCACCUUCCUCCGAGUUGACCCCGGCAGUCUCCUGUGAGUCCCCAUCACCCCGAAGGGCAUGCUGGCAACACAGAACAAGGGUUGCGCUCGUUGCGGGACUUAACCCAACAUCUCACGACACGAGCUGACGACAGCCAUGCACCACCUGUACACCGACCACAAGGGGGACCCUGUCUCCAGGGUUUUCCGGCGUAUGUCAAGCCUUGGUAAGGUUCUUCGCGUUGCGUCGAAUUAAGCCACAUGCUCCGCUGCUUGUGCGGGCCCCCCGUCAAUUCCUUUGAGUUUUAGCCUUGCGGCCGUACUCCCCAGGCGGGGAACUUAAUGCGUUAGCUGCGGCACCGACGACGUGGAAUGUCGCCAACACCUAGUUCCCACCGUUUACGGCGUGGACUACCAGGGUAUCUAAUCCUGUUCGCUCCCCACGCUUUCGCUCCUCAGCGUCAGUAAUGGCCCAGAGAUCCGCCUUCGCCACCGGUGUUCCUCCUGAUAUCUGCGCAUUUCACCGCUACACCAGGAAUUCCGAUCUCCCCUACCACACUCUAGUCUGCCCGUAUCGAAAUGCAGACCCGGGGUUAAGCCCCGGGCUUUCACAUCCGACGCGACAGACCGCCUACGAGCUCUUUACGCCCAAUAAUUCCGGACAACGCUCGCGCCCUACGUAUUACCGCGGCUGCUGGCACGUAGUUAGCCGGCGCUUCUUCUGCAGGUACCGUCACUUUCGCUUCUUCCCUGCUGAAAGAGGUUUACAACCCGAAGGCCGUCAUCCCUCACGCGGCGUCGCUGCAUCAGGCUUUCGCCCAUUGUGCAAUAUUCCCCACUGCUGCCUCCCGUAGGAGUCUGGGCCGUGUCUCAGUCCCAGUGUGGCCGGUCGCCCUCUCAGGCCGGCUACCCGUCGUCGCCUUGGUGAGCCGUUACCUCACCAACAAGCUGAUAGGCCGCGGGCUCAUCCUUCACCGCCGGAGCUUUCCACGCACAUCGGAUGCCCGAGCGCGUCGUAUCCGGUAUUAGACCCCGUUUCCAGGGCUUGUCC
rnacentral:rRNA from 1 species